CGGAUAGAAUUACACUACCGUUAUGUAUUUAUAAGCUGGGAACUUUAGCUAGAAAUAGUCCAAUUGUAGGAUACUGUCGAAAUUGAAGCUAGCUCAAUCUCUUUGAAUUGCUCGAUACGAUCAAUUGAUCAGUCAUGAAGUCUUCAUACACCAUCCUGGUCUUCCUGCUCCUGAUUGUGCAUGCGUCAGCCUGGUGGUUUGAUAGUUCGAAGGAGAAUGCCGAAAUUGCAAACAAAAACUACCCUGACGAACUCAUCCAGCGUCAUGUCGCAACAUCACUUGGUGAUGAAAUCCCAAACAUGAGGGAUGACCUCAUCUGCAGGAAGAACGCCGGCCAGGGUGAAAUCGAGCGACACAUAGGUGCUUGGACCACUUUAAAAAACUGGGAAGUUGAUCCCAACAAUGAUGAAAAGGAGGCAGCCGACCCAGCGGACAGCCCUAACGAGUGAACUGUCACCAAAAAGAAACCGGGAUCUUUAACUGACAAAUUAAAAUGAAAUAAUUAUGUCUAAUAAAAAUACCUUGAUUUAACAAAAUACUGUGAUUAAAAACCUUGAUAAGCCAAA